UGGGAUGUAGCUUAGUAGCAGAGUGCUUGCCUAGCAUGCAUAAGAGCCUGAGUUCAAUUCCCAGUAUUACAA
rnacentral:tRNA from 1 species